rnacentral:rRNA from 1 species
UACGGGGGGGGCAAGCGUUGUUCGGAAUUACUGGGCGUAAAGGGCUCGUAGGUGGCCAACUAAGUCAGACGUGAAAUCCCUCGGCUUAACCGGGGAACUGCAUCUGAUACUGGAUGGCUUGAGUUUGGGAGAGGGAUGCGGAAUUCCAGGUGUAGCGGUGAAAUGCGUAGAUAUCUGGAGGAACACCGGUGGCGAAGGCGGCAUCCUGGACCAACACUGACACUGAGGAGCGAAAGCCAGGGGAGCAAACGGG